rnacentral:rRNA from 1 species
UACCAGCUCUCCGAGUGGUGUGGAUGUUUAUUGGGCCUAAAGCAUCCGUAACUGGCUGGGCAAGUCCCCUAGUUAAAUCCACCGAUUUAAUCGUUGGUGUGCGGGGGAUACUGUUCGGCUAGGGGACGGGAGAGGCCGACGGUAUUUUCGGGGUAGGGGUGAAAUCCUAUAAUCCCGGGAAGACCACCAGUGGCGAAGGCUGUCGGCUAGAACGCGCCCGACGGUGAGGGAUAGAAAGCGUGGGGGAGCGGUAACCGGAUUAGAUACCCGGGUAGUCCCAGCUGUAAACGAUGCAGGCUAGGUGUUUGGGCGGCCGACGUGCCGCUCUAGUGCCGCAGAGAAGUCGUUAAGCCUGCCGCCUGGGGAGUACGCCGCAGGCUGAAACUUAAAGGAAUUGGCGGGGGAGCACCACAAGGGGUGAAGGCUGCGGUUU